rnacentral:miRNA from 12 species
UGUGAGUGUAUAUACGUGUAUAUGUAGUCUAUAUAUAGUGUAUAUACACACACACAUAAGUC